GUUAGUCCGGGAAUGGCACCAGCCCCAAGGGACCAGAUUUAAGAGACAAGCUAGCUUUAUCCUCUGGACUUUUUGGCUUACUUGAAUCAAUAAUUCCCUUUGGCUGAGAGCCAGCGUGUUCUGGGUUGUUCUGAGGCUUGGAAACAAAAGGCUUCUAACGGAUACAAAUCUCCAAAACCGGCAUUGAAAAGUGAGAGUCCAGCAAGCCUGUCCCGUCUCAACAAACACAAAGUGCUGGGCACACUGCUGAUCCCCUGAGACUUCGGCUCUCCUUCCCCUUCUGGGGUCUGCAGGGCGCUUCCACUUAGCCCUCACCACAGCCCUCAUUGCAGCUAAACAGAUAAGGGAAUGAUCAAGAUAACAGCAGCCAGCAUGGCCCCGGCUGGAGAAUCAGAUUCAGGGCGGAGAUCUCUCCCCUGUUCUCUCAUUUGAUCCUCACACCAACUCUGACUGAGCUGCUAUUUUGCAGCCUGCCCUGCCGAGAGGACACAGAGAUGGCAUAACCUGCCCAAGGCAAUGACUGCUACGAGAGCUGCCUCCAGCUGCGGUGAUCCCCUCCACAUAUCAGCUGGCUCCUUCUAAAAUGUGGAUCUCAUGACGUUGCGUCUCCAACUCAAACCCCCAAGCGCCCUUCACGGUCCAGAAAGCCAAGUUGUAGCUCCUCAGCAUGGCAGCAAAGUGCUGCAGGACAUGGAGGCCUUGCUACCUCCCAGCCUCAGCUCCACCCUUCCCCCAAAGCGUGGCCUGCUUGCAUGCCCUGCAUACGUGCUCCAUUUCUUCCCAGGGCAUGGGGCAUACUGCUCUCAUUGCCUGGACUGUCUUUCAUUCUUCCUCUAACCUCUGACUCUCCUCUGCAAGAGGAAGCAUGCAUUGCCUCUUCCAGGAAGGUUCCUGGGUGACACCUUCCUGCCCUUUGCCUUUGACCUUCUCUCCAGCCCCUGCCUCCUCAGGCUGCUAGGGUGUUCCUGUGUGUUCUUCCACACACCCCAAAGGAUGUGUCUUCUGGACACUUGAACCUUGCAGCUAUCCUCUGUCCUUUUUGCCUUGGCUGCUGGGAUGCUCAAGGGACCAUUUUAGGCCUUAUGGUAUGCAUGAUGCCCUCCAAUCCCACCUUCCUCUGCCUGCGUCUCAUUUCCUCAACCCCAGUUGCUUUUUCCCACACGUCCUCAUCUCUUCCUUUCAUCCUUAUGUAUAGCAUGCAUGCAUUGCUGGAAACCAUCCCCAAAUCCUUUUAUGAGGGGUGAGACAACGCAUGAAAGUAAAUAAAAAUGAUAAAAAUCCACCAACUUCUAUGAAUUCAAUUAUGUAACUAACAGGAGCAAUAUAUUUUUCCUCAGAGGCAAUGAGAUGGUAUGUUUUCUCUAUGCAGAAUGCAAAAUGUUGCUGGCAUUUAAG
rnacentral:lncRNA from 10 species